CGGGAGGCAGCAGUAGGGAAUCUUCCGCAAUGGACGAAAGUCCGACGGAGCAACGCCGCGUGAGUGAUGAAGGCCUUCGGGUCGUAAAACUCUGUUGUUAG
rnacentral:rRNA from 1 species